rnacentral:rRNA from 1 species
GAUGAACGCUGGCGGCGUGCUUAACACAUGCAAGUCGAACGGAAAGGCCCAAGCUUGCUUGGGUCCUCGAGUGGCGAACGGGUGAGUAACACGUGGGUGAUCUGCCCUGCACUUCGGGAUAAGCCUGGGAAACUGGGUCUAAUACCGGAUAGGACCACAUUUUGGAUGGUGUGGUGGAAAGUUUUUCGGUGUGGGAUGAGCUCGCGGCCUAUCAGCUUGUUGGUGGGGUAAUGGCCUACCAAGGCGUCGACGGGUAGCCGGCCUGAGAGGGUGUACGGCCACAUUGGGACUGAGAUACGGCCCAGACUCCUACGGGAGGCAGCAGUGGGGAAUAUUGCACAAUGGGCGCAAGCCUGAUGCAGCGACGCCGCGUGGGGGAUGACGGCCUUCGGGUUGUAAACUCCUUUCGCUAGGGACGAAGCGUUAUGUGACGGUACCUGGAGAAGAAGCACCGGCUAACUACGUG